AGAGAUGUGUGAUGACGCAUAUCAAUAAGCGGAGGAAAAGAAACUAACAAGGAUUCCCUUAGUAACGGCGAGUGAAGCGGGAAGAGCUCAAAUUUGAAAUCUUCAAGGUUCUACCUUGACGAAUUGUAGUUUAUAGAAGUGUUUUCUGUUAGUAGAGUGGCAAAAGUUCUUUGGAAUAGGACAUCAUAGAGGGUGAGAAUCCCGUAUUUGGUCAUUCUUCCUAGCUUUGUGAUACACUUUCAACGAGUCGGAUUGUUUGGGAAUGCAGUCCAAAAUGGGUGGUAAAUUUCAUCUAAAGCUAAAUAUUGGCGAGAGACCGAUAGCGAACAAGUACCGUGAGGGAAAGAUGAAAAGAACUUUGAAAAGAGAGUUAAACAGUACGUGAAAUUGUCAAAAGGGAAGCGUUUGACACCAGUGUUGUCUUUUCCGAAAAUCAAUUACGAAUGUUUUGUUUUUGAGGAGUUAUGACUUCAUCGGCUUGCUCCUUUCUUUACGAAACUUUCUUAAUGCACUUUUCGGUUAACAAGUCAACAUCAAUUUCUUUUGUUGUAAAAGGGUAUGAGGAAGGUGGCUUUCUUUUCGGAGAAAGUGUUUAUAGCCUUAUGCCUCUGCAAUCGGAGAGAUUGAGGUCUGCAGCGUAGAUCCUUCGGGGUUAGAUACAUUUGUGCUAAGUUAUAGCUUUUCAUAGACAACUUGUUGACUAUGUUAAGUCUUGUAGCUUACUCGCUUAUGCUAUUUUACCUACGCUUAGGAUGUUGAAGAUGUAGCACAUCAU
rnacentral:rRNA from 1 species